UAGCAAGCCUCCAGCGUGCUUGGGUCUGCGGUGACCCUGUGCAUUCCUACAGCGCUUGCCAGAACAAUUUUGAAGUGGUUUGAGGCCUUGCCCUGCUCUCUCCAGAGCAAGGUUAUAGAAAUUUCAGACAAUA
ensembl:snoRNA